rnacentral:snoRNA from 1 species
GUUUGAUGAUACACCAGCUGGCACCAGUCUGAGAAAGACUUGUACUCUUUUUGCUGCGGACUAGCUUUGCACGAGACACAAGUCUCUAGAUCUGAU